ensembl:snRNA U6 U6 spliceosomal RNA
GUGUCCGCCUUGGCAACACAUAUACUAAAAGUAGAACAAUACAAAGGUUAGCAUGGUUCUUGUGCAAGGGUGAAAUGUAAAUUCAUAAAGUAUUCUGUAUUUUU